ACAGUGAGAAGAUAGUCACCUAUGGACCAGAAAGCAGGCCCUCACCAAACUUCAAACCUGCCAGCCUGGAUCGUGGGAUUCCCACCUCCACAACUGGUGAAGAACACGAACACAGGGAGUUAGAGUCCCACAUGCUGAUAACUCCAUCAAGAGAGAAGAAAGAUUUUUCUCUUCCAGCUGCAGAAUGAGAACCUCCAGGGAAGGAGUAAUAAUAAAAUAGGUCCAGUCUGAGUCUUAAAAAAGGAAGCAAAUAUAAUAGCUCCAAACAUGAUUACAGAUGGAUUCUUUACCGCUGGGCCACCUAGGAAGCCCCAUGGGUAAACUGAAAAAUGAAACUCCUGGACUUGCAAACC